AUUGAACGCUGGCGGCAUGCCUUACACAUGCAAGUCGAACGGCAGCGGGGGAGAAGCUCGCUUUUCCUGCCGGCGAGUGGCGAACGGGUGAGUAAUACAUCGGAACGUGCCCUGUAGUGGGGGAUAACUAGUCGAAAGAUUAGAUAAUACCGCAUACGACCUGAGGGUGAAAGGGGGGGACCGCAAGGCCUCAUGCUAUGGGAGGGGACGAUGUCUGAUUAGCUAGUUGGUGGGGUAAAGGCCUACCAAGGCGACGAUCAGUAGCUGGUCUGAGAGGACGAUCAGCCACACUGGGACUGAGACACGGCCCAGACUCCUACGGGAGGCAGCAGUGGGGAAUUUUGGACAAUGGGCGAAAGCCUGAUCCAGCAAUGCCGCGUGUGUGAAGAAGGCCUUCGGGUUGUAAAGCACUUUUGUCCGGAAAGAAAUGGCUCUGGUUAAUACCUGGGGUCGAUGACGGUACCGGAAGAAUAAGGACCGGCUAACUACGUGCCAGCCGCCGCGGUAA
rnacentral:rRNA from 1 species